rnacentral:pre_miRNA from 1 species
UCAUAGAUGAACAAAGAAAGUGGUUUCUUGAGAAGGAAACUACCCCUGAUGAAGAUGCUGUGAA